CCUACGGGAGGCAGCAGUGAGGAAUAUUGGUCAAUGGACGAGAGUCUGAACCAGCCAAGUAGCGUGAAGGAUGACUGCCCUAUGGGUUGUAAACUUCUUUUAUAUGGGAAUAAAAUGUUCCACGUGUGGGAUUUUGUAUGUACCAUAUGAAUAAGGAUCGGCUAACUCCGUGCCAGCAGCCGCGGUAAUACGGAGGAUCCGAGCGUGAUCCGGAUUUAUUGGGUUUAAAGGGAGCGUAGGUGGAUUGUUAAGUCAGUUGUGAAAGUUUGCGGCUUAACCGUAAAAUUGCAGUUGAAACUGGCAGUCUUGAGUACAGUAGAGGUGGGCGGAAGUCGUGGUGUAGCGGUGAAAUGCUUAGAUAUCACGAAGAACUCCGAUUGCGAAGGCAGUUCACUGGACUGCAACUGACACUGAGGCUCGAAAGUGUGGGUAUCAAACAGGAUUAGAUACCCGAGUAGUC
rnacentral:rRNA from 1 species